UGUAAUGGGAGGGCUAGAACACGACGGAAAUGUACAGCCCUAGAGAGCUGUGAAGAGCGCUUGUGUGAUCGUAGCGCUAGCACGGAUCAUAGUAGCAGCAAGCGCAGCUUUUGGAGGAUCGUACCAUCUGCGCAACGUAACGGCGGCCAGAUCGAUCCCAUCGCGACUCGCGGGAAUUCCUCGUUUCUUAGUGACUCUCAUCUUAGGGUAUGUGCGGCGACGCUGCGCCAUAGCUUGAUCCUCGUGCUUAUGCAGCGAUUACGUCGCUAGGACGAGAGAUUCUUCCGUCGUCGGCCACUCCUUUUCUUUCUUCCGGGCUGAAUUAUUUGAGAGAAGAUCUUGGGAGGCUCUGUUCCUUUCCAUUCUCUCUGGAAAUAUUUCGACUCUUCCCAGUUCUUGCGAUGGAUUGAGCGCCGGAUCCUCGCAGAUUCGCGGCCAUGGCGACCGACACAGCAUCGGAAUUGCGGGAAAGAGUGCCGCUCCACAAGAAUCCCUUACAGGUCGUGCAAGAUCGCCGAGUCGAGCAGCAGCAAGAAGAUGGAGAAGAAGGCGAGCUCGGUUUCCGGCAACAUAUGCUAGCCGGCUCCUUGGCCGGGAUCGUGGAGCACGUCGCGAUGUUUCCAGUGGACACGCUCAAGACGAGAAUCCAAAUGAUCACAAGCCCGUGCGGAGGGUCGGGAGCUACUGCCGCUGCUACAGUUGGAUCGAGCAGCACGAUUUCCAGAUCGCUCGUAAGCUUGCUCAAGCAUGAGGGUCCUCUGGGAUUAUACCGGGGCGUGGGAGCCAUGGUUCUGGGAGCCGGGCCUUCUCACGCGGUCUACUUCGCAGCCUACGAAGAAUGCAAGAGGAGAUUUGAGGUGGAUGGCGGGGGGGGAGGGGGCUACCAUCCAAUCGCUCAUAUGUCCGCUGGAGCUUGCGCCACCAUUGCCAGCGACGCGGUCUCCACUCCAAUGGACGUGGUGAAGCAAAGGCUCCAGCUCAAGAACAGCCCCUACGCCGGACUGGGCGAUUGCGUGAGGAAGAUCGCGAGGAGCGAGGGAUUGAGAGGCUUCUAUGCCUCGUAUAGGACCACGGUGGUGAUGAACGUCCCGUUCACUGGCGUUCACUUUGCUACGUACGAGGCGGCCAAGAAGGCGCUCGGGGAGCUCCAGGGUGGUGGUGGUGGUGUUGGUGGUAUGAGUGAGGAACACCUCGUUACUCACGUCGUCGCUGGUGGAUCCGCGGGAGCUCUCGCCAGCGCUGUCACCACGCCGCUGGAUGUUGUCAAGACCCGGCUCCAGUGCCAGGGAGUUUGUGGCGCCGAGAGAUUCAGCUCCAGCUCGGUGCUAGAAGUAGCGAGGACGAUCGCGUCGCACGAAGGGGUAGGGGCACUGUUUAAAGGGAUGAUGCCCAGGAUUUUGUUCCACACCCCAGCGGCAGCCAUCAGUUGGGCGACUUACGAAGCGGGAAAGUCAUUCUUGCAAAGAUGGAAUGGAUAGAAAAGAAUCGCGUCGGCUCCUAAUCGCCUCUUGCUGCCUUUGGACGAGAUCGCAUUGUCUCCAGAUUCAACUCCACCAAUGCCAGAGAGAGAAAUGUUGCGAUCGGGAUACUCGGACUUGAGCAUCUGCGCAAUCGCCAUCACUUUUGCAAGAGCGAUUGGACGCACAGCUCUGGACGAGUAUCCGCCGGGUGUAGAGUACCUGAGACAACAACGUUUGACCGUGAAAAUCCCAGUUUUAGAACUCAAAGGCAUUACCCUUCAACGCAUGGCUCAGGUCGUAAAGUAUCGAGCCCAGACUGGAACUGUUGCCUUGGCAUUUAUCCAGCUGCAAACCUCGCCGAGAAGAUCACAAUCCUUUCCAACAGCAGCUCCCAUUUUUCGCUCGGGCAUUCCAUGCGGGCACGAAAAAUUCUCGGAAGAACACGCGAUCCUGGUAGGAAUGCCGCGAUCGAAGCCGCCGCCGCGACGAUCACAGGCGAGAGCUGGGACGAGCCCUCGCAUCGAAACCGCUGCCGCCAUAGCGCCUGCGCUAGACCUUCCUCCCUCCCUCCACGAUAACCCUGGAGGAGCGGCAUCGCCUCUAGCUCGCGCGGUCGAUUUGCGCCAGCGAUAUCGAUCAAUCGGCGGGGAUCGGUGCGAUCGAUUGAUCUUCCCUUCCGCCGAAAUAUUUCGGUUCUUGGCAGCGAUGGAGGCAUAUGAUCAGAAGAAAUCCUGGGGGAGGGAGUUCGUGGCGGGCGGGCUGGGAGGAAUGGCGGGCGUGAUCUCGGGGCAUCCGCUUGAUACCAUCAGGAUCCGGCAGCAGCAGCCGCGCCACGCUCUCUCGUCGGUGCCGUCAUCCGCCACUGGAAUGGUGAGGCAUUUGCUCAGAACAGAAGGUGUGCGCGCGCUCUACAAGGGAAUGUCGUCGCCGCUGGCCACCGUUGCCCUCCAGAAUGCCGUCGCCUUCCAGACUUACGCUACUCUUUGUCGAGUACAGUCACCGGAUCAACGAAACGAGACGCUUCCUCUGCAAAGAGUCGCUGUCGCUGGCUUUGGAACAGGUGCGCUCCAGACGCUGAUACUGACACCCGUGGAACUCGUCAAGAUCAAGCUGCAAAUCCAGCGAUCGCUCAAAGGGUGCUCCAAGUCCGCCAACCUUCACGGGCCGCUCCAAGUCGCGCGGAAGAUCACCCAGACAGAGGGCCUCCGGGGGCUCUACCGCGGCCUUGGAAUCACGCUCAUCAGGGACGCCCCGGCUCACGCAGUCUACUUCAGCUCCUACGAGUUCUUGCGCGAGAAGCUCCACCCGAGCUGCCGGAAAAACGGUGGUGAGUCGAUCCUCACGCUGCUCACGGCGGGAGGAUUUGCGGGGGCUCUCAGCUGGAUCGUGUGCUACCCGUUCGACGUGAUCAAGACAAGGCUCCAGUCCCAGGGUCCCGGAGCCGAGAUGAGAUACACGGGCAUCGUGGAUUGCUUGAGGACUAGCGUCCGCGAGGAGGGGAGAGGGGUGCUGUGGCGUGGAUUGGGGACCGCGCUGGCUCGAGCGUACCUGGUGAACGCCGCCAUCUUCUCGGCCUACGAGAUGAGCUUGAGGUUCCUCUCGGCGUCGAGAGCUCCGGACGCCAAAGCGUUUCUUAAAGGAGCCGAGGAGGCGACGCUACCGUGAGUUAUAGGGAGAGUGCCCGAUUGAUCGUAUCGAUUUGUUUGGUCUUGUUUUGCUUGGAAAUCCCUGUGUUGUGAAUAGAGAUAACGCCGAAGAAACGAAUAGGGAUAUUC